GGGCGGGUAGUUCAGUGGGAGAACGUCUGCUUGACACGCAGAAGGUCGUAAGUUCAAUUCUUACUCCGCCCACCA
rnacentral:tRNA from 1 species